ensembl:lncRNA
ACCCUUUUGUUUCUCUGGCUUCUAUCCCACCCCCAGCAAAUUCCCACAUGGCAUCUGGGAAUCAAAGAAUCUUUACCCUAUAAAAACAAAAUCAGGGCCAUAGCGCCAGAGACACAGAGAGAGAGUGGAGACCCACAGACCACGGCCGGCACUGCAGGUAGUGGUGGCUUCAGAAGUUGGUGGCUUUUGCACUUCCUGGGAGCCCUGAAGGAAAAGCCCAGACUCGGUGUCCGAAAAGCCCUUUGCUGCUCACUGUGUGGCUACAGGUAGCUCUGGGGAGCCCAGUGGGGGCGGGUGGGCACAGGUUGGGCAGAUGAGGAGGAGAAGCAGAGGGAGGCCCAGCAUUGCCCAGUCCGGACUUUGUCCCACGGGGAGGGCUCAGGCUGGGAUUUUGGGGUGUAAGGACUCUAGCCACCCCGAGGACCAUGGGGGUGUCACAUGGACAUCUGCAUUGGGGGCCUGGCUAGGGAGCCCACAGAGUCCAGGAAAGCCCAUGGUUAGAUGGUAAUUCUGGACCAAGGAGCCCAUUGCUCUUGGGGUUCAGCUCAGGGCCUUUGCAUCUGCCAUUGCCUCUGCCGGGCAAAACUCUUCCCUGCUUAGCACAUGGAUGCAAAACCUCGCUGGCCUCUCAGCCUCUUGCUUCUUUUUUUUCCUGUUGCUCCUGUCACUUAUUUCUGUUUCUUAUCUGUUUCUUCCAACUAAUAUACAAGGGAUCUUGAAUGUCGUUUCACUGCCACCGCCCCAGGGCCUGAAAAGAAACUAUCACGCAAAGGAAAUAAAUAGAUGCGUGAAUCAUCAAUGAGCGGACAACAACCUGGGGCUGCUGAGUACCGUCCGUCGGGGUGUGGACUGCACAACUCUGGAGGUCACCAUUCUGAAGGACGGUGCUCCAAGAGCAGGCCACCGUGUAUGGCCCCACUGCACACAGCAGUCCUGGGCUCCUCUGUAACCCCACCAUGCUUGCCCCCUGCACGGCUGUGCUGGCUCUGCUUUCUACUUCCAGACUUGUCCCCCCCCCCCCCCCCCUCCAUUUGCACUGAGUUUUCCACUUCUGAUGCCCAAGAGUGAGUCCAGUCCAUCUGGCUGUCUGCUUUAGGCUGGGUCACGGGGGCUCUGGUCAGCUUGCAAUGGUGGCAGCCAUGUGACCGCCUUUCACCUGCCUGUUUCUGGCUGGGGAGGGACGGCAAGGUUGCCUGUGGUGGCUGCCCACCUACUUCCUUCCUGGGCCCCUGCAGACCCUGAGAAAUGCUCUCAUUUCACUCCCACACCUCCCCAAGAAGGUGGCACCGAUUAUACCCACUUCACAGGUGAACUGUCUGAAGUUGUCAGGGUGACUGAGUUCAAAUGUGACUUCUCGCUCUCUGCUCGUGUAACCCUAGGCAGACUGCGUAAUCUCGCCGAGCCUCAGUUUCCUCAUCUGUAAAAUGCACAUAACAAUAAUCCCUCUUUUGAAAGAGGCGUGUGGAUCAAGUGAGGCGAUACAGGUAGCAACGGCUGUCGGCUGUCGGUGCAACGUCUGUGAGCACAUGCUCCUCUUCUCUGGCCCAGAAGUGCUGGUGCCUGGUGUGCAGAGAGCUGGGGUGUGGGCGCAUGCUGUGCACCCCUAGUUUGUGUCCCUGGGGCUCAGCUAUCAUGUGAGCAGAGAGGGAGGAAAGAAAGCAGCCACGCCUGUGUUCCAAGCAAGUGUUCUUGUAAGUCUGCAGCCAACUGCCAAAGCCCUGUGGCCACCUGAUCACCCUGAGCCAUGGGGUUCUAAGAUGAGCCCCACCCUCAGAGUGGGGACUCGGGGUGGGGGGACAGCUGCCAUCACACAGUGGUAGCAGAGUUCGGGGGACGAUCCCACCCCUGAUUUCGAGUCAGGCGUUGCUCCAGACGAACCCUACUUGCUCUUGGAGAGUUCAUUCAUGCGUUCACAACAUACACGGCACUGUUUUGGAAUCUUUUCACAGCAAGGAACAAAUCAGAACAAAAUCUGUACCCACAUCUUAGUGGAGGAAGAGAGACAAUAAAAAAUUAAACAUGUAAGUACACAUUAUGAGUGGUGGUAAACACAGAAAAUGGGGAUUGUUCCUGACAGGGUGAAGGGAAGGUAUCAAUCAUGAAAUUAUAUUUGAGCAGAGCCCCAGAGGAGGUGAAAGGGGACAUAGAUAUUGGGAGACAAGCUUCCUAAGCAGAUGGAUCAGCAAGUGCAAAGGCCCUGGUGUGGGCAUUAUGCUAUAAGACAGAAUUGAGGACACAGCUGAUGUUUCUUAGUGUAGCAUUCCAGAUGGAGUAUAGGAUGCCUGGUUAUGCUGGAAUCACAGUUAAACAAUGGCCAAUUCUAAUAUAAGGAUGUCCCAUACAAUUUGGGACAUAUUUAUACUAAAAAAAUUUAUUCAUUGUUUAAUUGAAAUUAAAAUUUAACUGUGUUAUAUUUUUAUUUGCUAUAUCUGGUGAAUCUCUUCAGUGGUCAGUCAUCGUGUAAGGCACAGAAAUAAAGAUCUUGGUGCUUCUACAAGGGGCCCUGGCUGGAAGACACAGGGAGUCAGCACAGGGGGGCCUGGCAGUGGAUGCUGGUCUUGCUGUUUGGGACCGUGGGCCUUGGCUGAGCCCUCCGCCUUAUGAGCCUUCCUAACUCAGCUGGAGGUGGGAGACGCAGUAUCUGAUUCCGGGGGCAGUAGGAAGAUCAGAGAUGAGCUUCAGGCAGCACGCCUUUAAUCCCAGCUCCUUGGGAGGCUGAGACAAGGUCACAAGUUUGAGUUCAGCCUGGGCAUCAUGGAGAGGCCUGGUCUCCAAAUGAAAAAUAAAAAGUUCUGAGGACAUAGCUCAGCGGGCCCAACCCCCAAUACUGCCAGAAACCCUAAAACAACAACAACAACAACAAUAACAAAACUGGAGUGAAACCGCAAACCUUUCUGCCCUGUCGCCUUGUCAUUGACACUAACUCCUAUCAAGCUUCGUAUUGUGUAUUGUGUACGAGAUGUGCUCGCAUCUGCUGAUCUUCUGAAACUAUCUUUUCACAUGAGUCUUGCUUAAAAAGACAUUUCACCAAGAGGGAGGCAAUAAAGAUAAAACUUGAAGUAAAAGAAACAGCAAUUUUUUUUUUUUUUGUACCAGCGAUUGAACUCGGGUCCUUGCACUUGCACAGCAGGCGGCGAAACCACUGAGCUAAAUCCCUGGCGCAAAAGGACGAUUUUUUUAAAAAUGAGCAGAAACACAGCAAGGGCAGUGAGGGAAGAGAACAGAGACAGCGAGCAGAACUGCGGAGUGGUGACCCGGGAGUUGAAAGCCCAGAGGACUCCCUGCCUGCACUGACUCACUGUGGGACUCGGGGCUGAUGGUUUCUCUCUGGGUCUCAAUUUCUCUAUCUUCAAGAUGAAGGCACUGAACCAUAGAUCUACAGAAUUUUAUUGUAACUGACGGAAAGCUCAGCACACAUUGGCUUGAACAGCCAAGUCCUGGGUGGGACUGGCUUCAGGUUCAGCAGGCUCCAGCGGCUCAUGGUGCUGUCCGUCUGCUGCCUUUUUGCUUGCUUCUCUAUAUAUCUAGCUCUCUCUCUCUCUCUCUCUCUCUCUUUCUCUCUGGCUGUCCUUCAAGGGAGCAGGUAGACAUUGCUUUAAAGAUGGGGAGUCCCCAAACAGAAGAGGUUCAAAUGUCACUGGGAGGAAGGAGACGCUGAUAAGCUAGAGCAAUGAACAUUCCUGCUCUUAAAAAAAGAUUUCUGGUUUUUGAUGUUUCUGCAGGGAGAGGAGUUUAUCAGAUCUGUCACCAGCCCAUGGGCAGUUUUCAGCUACUCACUUUGCAGCCCUUGAGGGGCUUGCAGGGAGUUGCUUGACCAGGUCCUUUGGCUGCAUAAGGGCCGUGCCUUCUUCAAACCCCAUAGCACCCUUUGAAAGGCCAGGGGCACCCUGGGUUUGCAGAAGGGACUGGUAGCUGUGUUGUCACAUGCACGCCCAGGUUGCCAGCCUCUCCAGAAACUCAGAACUCUCUGGUAGCUUUGGAAUCAAAUUCCUGGACCGCCUCCCCGUGGGAAUGAGGUCUGUUCACUGUGGUGCCCACUCCUCGUGAAUCCAGGAGAGGAUGCCCCUUGAAUCCAGUGUCCCUUGCCACUUGUCAUCAAGUCUGUGCUCACGUGGGGUUGGGAGGAAGGUAAAUGUUCCUUGGGCUUUCUACUGUGGGCCCUGCAUCUCUUCGCUGGUGACCUGGCUUCUGCCUUAGGCGGUAAGCGUGUGUGACUUCUGCCAUAAAGGAGGCAGGGAAGAGGGGUGAAGAGGCACUCUGUAUACUCCCUGAACACUGAUAGGGCACCUGCUAUGUGCAAGUGCCCCCAGCACCGGGAGAGACACAAGCCUUCUGUCGGGUGAGCUCCAGUGAAGGACUCAGGUCCUCGAGAGGGUCAGCACAAAGGUGAAACACACCACAGCGGUGACCAGAGACCCAUCGACUAAAAACCAGGCCUCAAGAUAAAGACAAGAGGACCAGACCUACAUACUUCCUCAAAGAACAAACACUGGGCCUAAUGAAGUCUAGAUAGACAUCAGCCACCCUGGUGGGUGACCAGAGAUCUGUGAACCCCCCACUUCCUAGGAGAAUCUUUGUUCUUUCCAUCUACGCUUCUUAGGUGGCUUGUUUCCCAAUUGAACCACCAUUACCUAAGUGCCUACACUUGUAACCUGAUUGGAUGUUCAUGGAUGUGUCCCACGUUGUACGUACGUGGGUUUCACCCUAUAAAACUCCUCUGUAAAGCAGGGUCCCGGGCUACCCACUUGGGGGUAGCCUGCCCCUCGGGAGCUCUCCUAUCCAUAAAUACCUUCUACUCUUAACCCCUGUUGUUCCUAGAACUCAUCGAUUUCUAGAGAACAACAAGAGCUCAGUGUAUCAUACAGCUAACAGGUUGGGAGAUGUAAUAUUUCAUAUUUCAUCUCUGGUAUUAUUUUUUGUAACAGUUGGGGGAAUCAGUUAAUUAAAAUUAUAGCUGACAGAUUAUUCAAUUGUCAGUGUGAAGCCUCCAACAAUUCGUUAAUUGUGACCUCAGGAAUUUAGAGCUCUGCUCCUCGACACGAACUCCAGCAUGAGCAGCACCAGCAGCAGCAGCCUUGGGGAACAGGUUACCAGCCUGGAGUCUUGGGCUCUAUGCAUCUUAAAGCAAGGGAGAAAGGGCUGCUCCCAGGUCCCUGAGCUCGGCUGAGACCUGCGCCGUGCAGACACGUGCAGCAUCCCAUCCCGGCUUGGUCGGGGAUUACCUGGGGGUCUCUGGGCAAGUGAGUCGUGGUCUUCUCAGUGAGGGGAGAGCAGAAGAGGCUGCUCCGUGGGAAGGGGACAUGCAGGAGGUAGUAUAGUCCAGUAGAUGCCACACGCAGGAGCAAAUGCUAGCUUCCAGGGAGCCAGGACCUCUGAGUCAGCUCUUGAAGGAGGAGUGGAAAGGGGCUCCCUCUAAAGCUGAACCAAAGACAGUUAAUGCUCAAAACCAAAACAGGCUUUUUCUGAGAGAAGAAAUAACAGCUGCGAUGGGAAUAAACAAAACCGCAGCUUCCUCUCACUGUUUGCAAGGCUCUGGAAUUCCGCUGUGAUGUCAGCCUUCUCUGAACGGUGUGCGUGUGUCUGUCUUUCUGUGUUUUCCAUUUGGAGCUGCGGCUAUGACCACAUAUGUUUAAGACCAAUAGAGGAUGUUGAGUCUCCAAAAACACCCCAGGAGGAGAGAGUGCAAGGAACCCAGAGCGCCUGCACGGUGAAGGGUUUGCACAGGAACGAGAAUUACAGGAUUUUCAAGCGCCAGUGUGAGUGAGCAUAUUCCUGCCCCUCUAUUCCCUGUCGGGGCUUGAGGACCUCAUCAUCUGGCCUUGGCCAGGUGGGGUGCACAGAGGUGCCGGCUCGGACAUGCCCCCCCUGCUGUGCCAGGCACCCCGUGGGGAAACUGGGCUUCCAUUUGGGCAGAUGAAGUGAGAGUUCUGGGGGAUGAAGAUGAGGUCCCCACCUUCUCUUUGUCGCCUUGGAGACACACACUGUGGGAUGUGCAGGAGAUGUGUGCCAUGGAAACUCCUGAUGGUAACUGAGAUGGAUCUGUGCCCCAGGCUUCACGCAGGGAAGUUGAAUUAUGGGAGUUGAAUUAACGUUGGACUCCUCAGAACAACCAUGGGAGUGAGGAGCAAAGAUGGCUUCUCUGGGGGUCCUGGGCUGAGGGGCCUAGGAAGCUCCUUUGGUGCCUGCCCAGUGAGUGGCCCCAGUCCACCCUUAGGACCAUUCUACUGUACGUAUGGAGCACCUGCUGUGUGCCAGGCCCAGGUGGGCUCAGACGGGGACACAGGCUCCGGGAGCAGUGAUUCACUGAGUCCCACCCUGCAGGGGAAGGGGUGCUCUGCGAGACCGGGUGUGCGAACCCUCAGUGAGGAGCGGUGGUCCAGAGGGCCUUGGGAAGAGGGACGAUCACGCCUCCGGGAGUUUCCCCCGGUUCCGCACUUCCUCCGCACCGCAGCUUUUCCCUCCGCCGCCAGAACCCACCGCUCUGCUCCGGCCUCCUUGCGCGUCCCAACUGCCCGUCCCAGGAGGGCAGGGCAGACUCGGAUUCCUCCCUCCGCAGGCCCAGGGCGUCAAUCCCAGCACCCGGCACCCGGUGGGCACUCGGCCCCAGCGCGCACCACUCGGGGGCUCUCGAGGCGGCCUCUCUUGCGAUCGAGGGCGCGCGGGGCUGAAGAACAAUCUCCGGCCUCGGCUCUCAGCGCCGGAGGUUGGAAGAGGGCGGGUCGCCGGCGCCCGAAGGCGAGGACGCAGAGCCGCGGGAGGAAGGAGCGCUCGCCCGCCCGCCGCCUCGCUGCCUCCCCGCGCUCGUUCUCCGGACUCCUGGAGCUGCCGGCUGCUCCUCCCACCCGCGCCCGCCUCCUCGCUCGCUCGCUCGCUCCCGGGAGCUGCUUUCCAGCCCUGCGGUGGGCCCGGGCGAGUGCGGGGCGAGGGGCCCCGGGC